rnacentral:rRNA from 1 species
CCUACGGGUGGCAGCAGUGGGGAAUAUUGCGCAAUGGGCGGAAGCCUGACGCAGCGACGCCGCGUGAGGGACGAAGGCCUUCGGGUUGUAAACCUCUUUCAGCAGGGACGAAGCGGGAGUGACGGUACCUGCAGAAGAAGCACCGGCCAACUACGUGCCAGCUGCCGCGGUAAUACGUAGGGUGCAAGCGUUGUCCGGAAUUAUUGGGCGUAAAGAGCUCGUAGGCGGUCUGUUGCGUCGGCUGUGAAAUCCCGAGGCUCAACCUCGGGUCUGCAGCCGAUACGGGCAGGCUAGAGUUCGGCAGGGGAGACUGGAAUUCCUGGUGUAGCGGUGAAAUGCGCAGAUAUCAGGAGGAACACCGGUGGCGAAGGCGGGUCUCUGGGUCGAUACUGACGCUGAGGAGCGAAAGCGUGGGGAGCGAACAGGAUUAGAUACCCUUG